AGCGAACGCUGGCGGCAGGCCUAACACAUGCAAGUCGAACGGACCCUUCGGGGUUAGUGGCGGACGGGUGAGUAACACGUGGGAACGCGCCUUUUGGUUCGGAAUAGCUCCCGGAAACGGGUGGUAAUGCCGAAUGUGCCCUUUGGGGGAAAGAUUUAUCGCCAUUAGAGCGGCCCGCGUCUGAUUAGCUAGUUGGUGAGGUAAAGGCUCACCAAGGCGACGAUCAGUAGCUGGUCUGAGAGGAUGACCAGCCACAUUGGGACUGAGACACGGCCCAAACUCCUACGGGAGGCAGCAGUGGGGAAUCUUGCGCAAUGGGCGAAAGCUUGACGCAGCCAUGCCGCGUGAAUGAUGAAGGUCUUAGGAUUGUAAAAUUCUUUCACCGGGGACGAUAAUGACGGUACCCGGAGAAGAAGCCCCGGCUAACUUCGUGCCAGCCGCCGCCGUAACAC
rnacentral:rRNA from 1 species